rnacentral:misc_RNA from 1 species
AACAUAUGGAUCAAUCUUACCUAUCAUCACAUAUCAAAAUCAAACAGAUCAAUUUCUCAAUUUACCAUAAAAAUGUCCAGAAAUCAAGAAAAUCAAAGUUUUUAAAAUACAAAUUUAUGCGGUUUUAUCUGGAUUUUAUGAUCCAUGAAUAAAAUUGAUUGGCAAAUACAUAAUAGCCCUCUGUAACUGAGUGUUUGAGUAGAAUCAAUCGGCAAAUCAUUUGAAACAAAAGGCAAAGAGGAGAACAGGAAUAAGAGAAGACAGAAACCAAAGAAAAGAAGAGAAAGAAAAAUUAUCGCAGAGAUGGC